AUCCCUUUGUGGUUCCUAAGUAUGAUGAUUGGGUUUUCACACUAUAGUGUGAGAUUGCCUCCUUCAAACCUUGUUAUAGUGUUGGCACAUUGCAUGUCUGCUG
ensembl:snoRNA